CUACGGGAUGCUCCAGUGAGGAAUAUUGCACAAUGGGGGGAACCCUGAUGCAGCAACGCCGCGUGGAGGAUGACGCAUUUCGGUGUGUAAACUCCUUUUAUAUGUCAAGAAAAUGACGGUAGCAUAUGAAUAAGCACCGGCUAACUCCGUGCCAGCAGCCGCGGUAAUACGGAGGGUGCAAGCGUUACUCGGAAUCACUGGGCGUAAAGGACGCGUAGGCGGGUUGAAAAGUCAGGUGUGAAAGCCUACAGCUUAACUGUAGAACUGCACUUGAAACUCUCAACCUAGAGUAUGGGAGGGGCAGAUGGAAUUAGUGGUGUAGGGGUAAAAUCCGUAGAUAUCACUAGGAAUACCUAAAGCGAAGGCGAUCUGCUGGAACAUUACUGACGCUAAGGCGUGAAAGCGUGGGGAGCAAACAGGAUUAGAUACCCGGGUAGUC
rnacentral:rRNA from 1 species